UAGGGAAUCUUCGGCAAUGGACGAAAGUCUGACCGAGCAACGCCGCGUGAGUGAAGAAGGUUUUCGGAUCGUAAAACUCUGUUGUUAGAGAAGAACAAGGACGUUAGUAACUGAACGUCCCCUGACGGUAUCUAACCAGAAAGCCACGGCUAACUACGUGCCAGCAGCCGCGGUAAUACGUAGGUGGCAAGCGUUGUCCGGAUUUAUUGGGCGUAAAGCGAGCGCAGGCGGUUUCUUAAGUCUGAUGUGAAAGCCCCCGGCUCAACCGGGGAGGGUCAUUGGAAACUGGGAGACUUGAGUGCAGAAGAGGAGAGUGGAAUUCCAUGUGUAGCGGUGAAAUGCGUAGAUAUAUGGAGGAACACCAGUGGCGAAGGCGGCUCUCUGGUCUGUAACUGACGCUGAGGAUCGAAAGCGUGGGGAGCAAACAGG
rnacentral:rRNA from 2 species